rnacentral:rRNA from 1 species
UACGUAGGGUGCGAGCGUUUGUCCGGAAUUACUGGGCGUAAAGAGCUCGUAGGUGGUUUGUCGCGUUGUUCGUGAAAACUCACAGCUUAACUGUGGGCGUGCGGGCGAUACGGGCAGACUGGAGUACUGCAGGGGGAGACUGGAAUUCCUGGUGUAGCGGUGGAAUGCGCAGAUAUCAGGAGGAACACCGGUGGCGAAGGCGGGUCUCUGGGCAGUAACUGACGCUGAGGAGCGAAAGCGUGGGGAGCGAACAGG